GACGAACGCUGGCGGCGUGCCUAACACAUGCAAGUCGAGCGAAUGAAGUUCCUUCGGGAAUGGACUUAGCGGCGGACGGGUGAGUAACACGUGGGCAACCUGCCUCAUAGAGGGGAAUAGCCUUCCGAAAGGGAGAUUAAUACCGCAUAAGAUUGUAGUAUCGCAUGAUACAGCAAUUAAAGGAGCAAUCCGCUAUGAGAUGGGCCCGCGGCGCAUUAGCUAGUUGGUGAGGUAACGGCUCACCAAGGCGACGAUGCGUAGCCGACCUGAGAGGGUGAUCGGCCACAUUGGGACUGAGACACGGCCCAGACUCCUACGGGAGGCAGCAGUGGGGAAUAUUGCACAAUGGGGGAAACCCUGAUGCAGCAACGCCGCGUGAGUGAUGACGGCCUUCGGGUUGUAAAGCUCUGUCUUCAGGGACGAUAAUGACGGUACCUGAGGAGGAAGCCACGGCUAACUACGUG
rnacentral:rRNA from 1 species